CUUCCCAGUGCUCUUUGGACCAGAAGUAGGAGCUUGUCUGGUCUCUCUUGUUAUUAUGAUUGUCUCUCUGCUUAAUACAACUGGUAAUGAUGAGCAGCAGAGCAGUAUACAUGCAAGCACUUUCUAUGUGCCAUGCAUUUUACAUGGAUUAUCUCAUCUAAUCCUUAAAAUAACCCUAUAAGGUAGUUGCUCUUAUCCCUGUUUUAUAGAAACAAAGAGAGGUUAGGAAACUUGCUUAAAGUCGCACAGUAAGUGGUAGAACUGGGAUUUGAAUAAGCAGUCUGGCUCCAGAGUCUAUGCUCUUAACCUCUACACUCUACUGCUUCUAUUCCUCUCUUACCUGUCUGUGAAGACAGUAUGGGCAGGUGGCUUAGUAGGGCCAGUCCUAUUUUUCCCAUCGGAAAAAUGGGAAGAUUUUGACUAUUGGGCUAGGAAUAAGGAGGCCUGUGAUCUUGUCUUGACCCCGUCACCAAUUUGCUGCAUCCAGGACUUCACUUUUCUCAGCUUUAUUGUCCUCAUUCAUUAAACAAAGGGGUCGCUCUAAAUGGUCCCUUCUAACUCUCAUGUUCUAUGAUUGAUGAUAUGAAGUGAGGAGAGUAGCACCUGCUCAUGUCCUUGAUUUUGGAGCAGUGGUAUUUGUGAGGUUUUAGGGAGCCUGCUUUGUGCAAGGGAAGAUGCUAGAUUUCAGGGCAGAGAAGCAGCCUCCUUCCUGAAGAAGGUAGAUCUGGAUUCUUUUUUGAGGUUGGUUGCCAAGGGAACCUCGCAUUUGGCCAGCAAUGACCAGGAAUGCUUUGGUUGAGGGUUGGGUAGAGAUAACUGAAACAAGCAGCACAUUUCAGGUUUCACUGUCCCCCCCCCCGCACCCCGACCACCUAGCUACCUUUCCUUUCCAAGAUGCUAGUUUUAUGUACUAUGUUAGGCACUGUUUUAAGUACUUUACAAGGUAUGGUAUUUAAUCUUCCUAGUAAUCUUAUGAGAUAGGUACUAUUAUUGUUCUAAAUUUACAGAUAAUGAAAAUGAGGCAAAUAGUGUUAAAUAAUUUGUCCACAUUUACUCAAGUGGAAAGUGGUAUCAAACUCACUAAGUUGUACUGCCUGCUUGGAGCUUAAAAAUAAGAAGCAGGGAGAGGACUCUUUAGUUAUCUGUUAGUGGCUUUUGUUUGUUUCUUUGCUUGUUUUGUUUAGAAUGAUAGACUCUUGGAAAGGGCCUUUGAGGUAAUACAAUCAAUCUCCUUGUCUCUAGUCUGCCAUCCGGUUACAGGAAUGCUUUCUGUCAUCUGCCUGACAGAUGAUCGUCCAAGUUCGUUUUGAAUACUUCCAUUGCUGGGGAGCUCAUCUCUUCUCCAGGAAUCUCAUUAUGUUGUUGAAUAGCUCUCAUUGGUAGAAAAUUAUUUCUUGUUUUGAAUUACAAUCUGAUUGAGGUGACUUCUCAUCAGUUUUAGGCCUAUCUCCUGGAACCAUACAGGAUAAAUAUAAUCCAUCUUCCACAUUCCAAUCUUGUGAGCAUUUGAAGACACUCUUCCUGUUUAUAAGGCACAUUUACAGUUUUCUCUUAGCAUAUAAGCUUGUUUUCAAUUCAGGUUAGUCUGGCCAAAUGCAGUCUCUAUUUCUCACUACUUUGCAAGUGUAGCCUUGUAACAAAUCUAUGCUUCUCUUGUGAUUAGUUAGGUACAACGUAUGGGAUCUUCCCACAUCCUUGGAGAAUGAAUGGAUAGUGAGCUGAGUCUAUAAAGUUGUAUAUGAGUCUGGAAGGUUUGCAGUGUCCUACUCUUAUAAUAUCAAGGAUGUCAGGCUGCUGCCCUGUACACGCUGUCAGAGCUCACAAAAUGGCUGGAAGUUUAUCCGGGUACUUGAUGAAAUUGUAUUUACUUCAUCAGGCCACUAGGUGCUGAACAACUUGCAAACCCAGACUGCCAGGGACGGUUGUGUUCAGGACAGUUUCUGUUUGUACCCGGAAAGGCGAUAUCUGGUACCACCUUGUUAAAAGGUUUCUUCAUAGAGAAGGAAAACGUGUCUUGUGUACAUUUUGUGUUUCCAAGCUUUGUUCCAAUUUUAAAUAUUAAGUUGACUAGGAUACUUGAGUGAUUUUCUUAGAAAAAGGGCGUAGAUGGUACUUUCAAGGUCCUUAUAUGUCCAAAUAUACAUACUUUUUUUGCUUUCAUUUAUGAAUGAUGUCUUGGCUGCGUGUAAGAUUCCUAAAUAGUAGUCCUAGUCUCUACAGAGUCUGUGACAGCUUUCUACUGUCUUUAGUUUUUAGUGAUAGCGAUGAGAAGUCCAAUGCCAAUAGGAUUCUUUUUUCUUUGUAAGUGAUGACCUAUUCUCUCUUUCUGGAAGUUUGUAAAUUUUUUCUUCAUUCUUAGCAUUUCAUAAGGAUAUGCUUAGCUCUGUGUCUUUUUAAAAUAUCUCUUCUUGCCACUUGAUGAGCCUUUUAGACUUAAAAGCUUACAUCUUUCUUUCCUUCAGGGAAGUUUUUUUUUUUUUUGAGGAAGAUUAGCUCUGAGCUAAUAUCUGCUGCCACUCCUCCUCUUUUUCCUGAGGAAGACUGGCCCUGAGCUAACAUCCGUGCCCAUCUUCCUCUACUUUAUAUGUGGGACGCCUGCCCCAGCGUGGCUUGCCAAGUGGUGCCAUGUCCGCAUCCAGGAUCUGAACCAGCAAACCCUAGGCUGCCAAAGCGCAAUGUGUGCACUUAACUAAUGCACCACUGGGCCGGCCCCAGGGAAGUUUUAUUGCUUUCCUUCUAUAUGUUUCUAACCUCUUUACAGAUGAGGAAACUGAGCCCAGAAAGGUUGUGACUUUCCCAGGGUCACUCAGCUGGUUAAAAAUGAACCUCAAGGGGCCAGCCCUGUGGCCGAGUGGUUAAGUUCGUGCGCUCUGCUGCAGGCAGCCCAGUGUUUCGUCAGUUCGAAUCCUGGGCGCAGACAUGGCACUGCUCAUCAAGCCACGCUGAGGCGGCGUCCCACAUGCCACAACUAGAAGGACCCACAACGAAGAAUAUACAACUAUGUACCAGGGGGCUUUGGGGAGAAAAAGGAAAAAAAAAAAUCUUAAAAAAAAAAAAAAUGAACCUCAAGCAAAUAACCUCACUCCUUUGAUGAGCUCGACUUUCACUGUAUGGAAUAUUGUUCUAGAAAGAGGGCCGUCAUGAACAACUUGGAAAUUUUUUUAGUGAGACAGUAAUUUUGCCAAGGGUUUGUAGGGAGAUGAAGAAGGAAGAAGAGGUGAUAAAAUUCAUUACAAUUAAAAGCUGGCCCAUUUGAAGGGCUGCAAAAUUCACAAGUCCCUUGUUAUCCCAGUUAUUGGAGCUACCCCAAAGCUCUAAAAUUUCAUAGAGCUAGGAAGUUGAUUGAACAUUUGAAGAAUUAGGUAUUUAGGUAUCAGGAGUUAGGUAAGCAUGGUCAUGCCCUGUUGUAAAUAUUGGACAACGUGUAAAUGAUAUCUGAAGGCUUGGUGACAGACAUCAUAAACUCUGUCUUAUCAGUGGUCUGGUUUCUUUUUUGAGCUCCAGCCUGGGACCCUUUUCUGCUGGGAACCACUUAUUCCUGGCUCUGCUGAUCUUUGGAUUUCCCCAGCCCUUCAGUCUCUUUCAGUUUUGAAAUGAAACCUACCCCAGAGGGCGAGGUCAGGUACUGAGAGGACUUUGACAGCUCACACCAGCUUGUUUUCUUUCCGGAGCCGUCUGGUAUGUGACCGAGUGAGGCGUGAGGCUCAGCACGUUGUGAUGUAGACUAAUUGAUGGUGAAUCAGCUGUUGGGUGAAACAUGAUCUUGUCACUGUAAUGUGGUAAUUGAUAAUGUGAUUCUGGAGCCAGCCUGCUGGGGCCUGAAUUCUGAUUUAGCCACUUACUAACUGUGUGGCCUUGGCCACGGCCACAGCAUGGCCACUAACAGAUGAGUGGUGUACGUCCGUGCCCAGGAUCCAAACCCAGGCAGCCAAAGCAGAGCAUGCCAAACUUAACCACGAGGCCACCGGGGCUGGCCCAAGGACCCUCUUAAUGGUGAAAUUUUCGGUACAAGGAUGAACUUUGAAGUCAUUGUGCCAAGUCCUGCUUGUUCCUUUGGACUACACAGUGGGAGCUGGAAACAUGGGUGACCCCAGUAGGGGCUUUUGUAUUCAUAAGCACCAGGCUUACGAAUACAAACACAGCAAGUCCCAGGAGCUGGUUUUGGUGGGGCUGGACUUCUCCUCCAUGCAGAAUCACAUGGCCUCUUUAGGAAGAAGCCCCUCGCCGCCAUUGACCUCCACUUGGGGCAUCCUCCUGUCUCCAGUCCAAAGACAAUCCUAUGGACCUCAGAGCUCUUGUGUCUCUGCUGCUGCAGCACCCAUCCAUAUGUGCCCCACUGUGGCCGAGCCAGCCUGUACUGGGGUGUUCCUGUCCAUCUUGCAGGGGACUCUGCCUCCAGCCAGUGCCCCCUCCAAGCCUGGUCUCCUCUAAGGAUUUCCUGUGGGUUAGCUCUGGGGAUCUUUUCUUAAUCUGUUCCUACAUGUGUUAUUACAGAAAGAAUUAUUCAUAAUUGCCAGCAUUGUGAUGGCUUCUUCCUAGUUUCUUUUGAGCCUGCAUGUUUUUCCCUACUUGACAUUUUCUAGGUUCUCUCCUACUUAAGUGACUUCUUCAGGAUCUUUUCUAUUGAGGAGUAAUGAACGAACAGUAAAGUCACAAAUCCUAAGCAUACAUUGCAGUGAAUUUUUACAUAUGUGUACACUAUGUAACCACCACCCCAAUCAAGGUGUUUCUUUUAGAGUUGAGAAGUUCUUGGUGGGAGGUUGAGUGGAGAAGGAAAUCAUGAGUGUGUCCACGAGCUGCCGUCUUUUUCUAGAACUCUCUUUAAAGGGUGUUAAGGAGGGAGCUGAACGUCAAGUCUAUACAGUGGUGUGGAGAGCAGAAUGCUUAGGAGUGGCAGGUCAUGUUCUGGUCCUCCCCCUUACUAGCUGUGGGACUUCUGUGCCUCAGUUUCAACCACUGUAAAAUGGGAGUAGAUGAUAGCUCUUACCUCACAAGGUUAUCAUGAAGAUUACACGAGGCAGUACAUGUAAGUGCACCAAAAAAUGUUAAUUGUUAUUUUUGUUGUUAUUAAUAACGAGGAGGAGGCAGUGGUUCUUAAUGAAGGAUAUGCAUCAGAAUCACCUGGGGCACUUUCG
ensembl:lncRNA